CAACUAACCAGGUUAACUCAUUCCCCUGGUCAACUAACCAGGUUAACUCACUCCCCUGGUCAACUAACCAGGUUAACUCAUUCCCCUGGUCAACUAACCAGGUUAACUCACUCCCCUGGUCAACUAACCAGGUUAACUCACUCCCCUGGUCAACUAGCCAGGUUAACUCACUCCCCUGGUCAACUAACCAGGUUAACUCACUCCCCUGGUCAACUAACCAAGUUAACUCACUCCCCUGGUCAACUAACCAGGUUAACUCACUCCCCUGGUCAACUAACCAGGUUAACUCACUCCCCUGGUCAACUAACCAGGUUAACUCACUCCCCUGGUCAACUAACCAGGUUAACUCACUCCCCUGGUCAACUAACCAGGUUAACUCACUCCCCUGGUCAACUAACCAGGUUAACUCACUCCCCUGGUCAACUAACCAGGUUAACUCACUCCCCUGGUCAACUAACCAGGUUAACUCACUCCCCUGGUCAACUAACCAGGUUAACUCAUUCCCCUGGUCAACUAACCAGGUUAACUCACUCCCCUGGUCAACUAACCAGGUUAACUCACUCCCCUGGUCAACUAGCCAGGUUAACUCACUCCCCUGGUCAACUAACCAGGUUAACUCACUCCCCUGGUCAACUAACCAGGUUAACUCAUUACUCUGGUCAACUAACCAGG